rnacentral:tRNA from 1 species
GGAGCAGCUGUGGCUCAGUGGUAGAGUACCUGCCUGGCGUGCAGAAGGACCCAAGUUCAAUUCCCAGGGUCUCCA